UACGUAGGGGGCAAGCGUUGUCCGGAUUUAUUGGGCGUAAAGAGCGUGUAGGCGGCUUUGCAAGUCCGUUGUGAAAACUCGAGCUCAACCUCGAGACGCCGGUGGAAACUGCAAAGCUAGAGUCCGGAAGAGGAGAGUGGAAUUCCGUGGUGUAGCGGUGAAAUGCGCAGAUAUCAGGAAGAACGCCCGUGGCGAAGGCGGCUCUCUGGGACGGU
rnacentral:rRNA from 1 species